rfam:Salmo salar isolate Sally breed double haploid chromosome ssa29, whole genome shotgun sequence.
UCCCAUGUGGCUCAGUUGGUAGAGCAUCGUGUUUGCAAUGCCAGGGUUGUGGGUUCGAUUCCCACGGGGGAC